CGGGCUGUAGUAUACCGGUAGUAUACGCCCUUCGGGAGGGCGAGGACUGGGUUCGAUUCCCAGCAGCCCGA
rnacentral:tRNA from 4 species